CUCUUUGACUUUUUUUUAUUUCAGGUUCAUAUCAUACUCUUCAAAACGUCAAAAGGGAGAUGGUUUUGUUGAAGCCAAAGGAUGCCGAAGACUUGGUGAACGCGUGAUCCACUAAGUUUUAUCUGAAAAGAAA